GGCCUCGUAGCUCAGUCGGCAGAGCAUUGGGCUAGCAUCCCAAAGGUCGCGGGUUCGAUUCCCACCGUGGUCA
rnacentral:tRNA from 1 species